GACGAACGCUGGCGGCGUGCCUAAUACAUGCAAGUAGAACGCUGAAGAGAGGAGCUUGCUCUUCUUGGAUGAGUUGCGAACGGGUGAGUAACGCGUAGGUAACCUGCCUGGUAGCGGGGGAUAACUAUUGGAAACGAUAGCUAAUACCGCAUAAAAUUGAUUAUUGCAUGAUAAUUAAUUGAAAGAUGCAACUGCAUCACUACCAGAUGGACCUGCGCUGUAUUAGCUAGUUGGUGAGGUAACGGCUCACCAAGGCGACGAUACAUAGCCGACCUGAGAGGGUGAUCGGCCACACUGGGACUGAGACACGGCCCAGACUCCUACGGGAGGCAGCAGUAGGGAAUCUUCGGCAAUGGGGGGAACCCUGACCGAGCAACGCCGCGUGAGUGAAGAAGGUUUUCGGAUCGUAAAGCUCUGUUGUAAGAGAAGAACGGGUGUGAGAGUGGAAAGUUCACACUGUGACGGUAUCUUACCAGAAAGGGACGGCUAACUACGUG
rnacentral:rRNA from 1 species